AUUGAACGCUGGCGGCAGGCCUAACACAUGCAAGUCGAACGGAGUGGCGGACGGGUGAGUAAUGUCUGGGAAUCUGCCUGGUAGAGGGGGAUAACGUCCGGAAACGGGCGCUAAUACCGCAUACUAUCAGAUGAGCCUAGGUCGGAUUAGCUAGUUGGUGGGGUAAAGGCCUACCAAGGCGACGCUCCGUAACUGGUCUGAGAGGAUGAUCAGUCACACUGGGACUGAGACACGGGCCAGACUCCUACGGGAGGGAGCAGUGGGGAAUAUUGGACAAUGGGCGAAAGCCUGAUCCAGCCAUGCGGCGUGUGUGAAGAAGGUCUUCGGAUUGUAAAGCACUUUAAGUUGGGAGGCGUUACCAACAGAAUAAGCACCGGCUAACUUCGUGCCAGCAGCCGCGGUAAUUC
rnacentral:rRNA from 1 species